GACGAACGCUGGCGGCGUGCCUAAUACAUGCAAGUCGAGCGGACCAAAGGGAGCUUGCUCCUGGAGGUUAGCGGCGAACGGGUGAGUAACACGUGGGCAACCUGCCUGUAAGACUGGGAUAACAUCGAGAAAUCGGUGCUAAUACCGGAUAAUAAAAGAACUGCAUGGUUCUUUUUGAAAGAUGGUUUCGGCUAUCACUUACAGAUGGGCCCGCGGCGGCAUUAGCUAGUUGGUGAGGUAACGGCUCACCAAGGCGACGAUGCGUAGCGACCUGANAGGGUGAUCGGCCACACUGGGACUGA
rnacentral:rRNA from 1 species